AACGAACGCUGGCGGCAUGCCUAACACAUGCAAGUCGAACAAGACCUUCGGGUCUAGUGGCGCACGGGUGCGUAACGCGUGGGAACCUGCCCUUAGGUUCGGCAUAACUUCCCGAAAGGGGUGCUAAUACCGGAUAUUGUCUUCGGACCAAAGUUUUAUCGCCUUUGGAUGGGCCCGCGUUGGAUUAGCUAGUUGGUAGGGUAAAAGCCUACCAAGGCGACGAUCCAUAGCUGGGCUGAGAGGAUGAUCAGCCACACUGGGACUGAGACACGGCCCAGACUCCUACGGGAGGGAGCAGUGGGGAAUAUUGGACAAUGGGCGAAAGCCUGAACCAGCAAUGACGGGUGAGUGAUGAAGGCCUGAGGGUUGUAAAGCUAUUUUACCCGGGAUGAUAAUGACAGUACCGGGAGAAUAAGCUCCGGCUAACUCCGUG
rnacentral:rRNA from 1 species